AAGUGAUUCUCCUGCCUCAGCCACCCUAGUAGCUGGAAUUACAGGCAUGCACCACCAUGUCCGGCUAAUUUUUGUAUUUUUUAUUAGAGACGGGGUUUCACCACGUUGGCCAGGCUGGUCUUGAACUCCUGACCUCAGGUGAUCCACCUGCCUCAGCUAUCUUUUCACUUUCUCAUGGUUGCUGUUAUUUUUAUGUUUGUUUUUUUCCUUAAUGAAGGCAAUUUCCACUUUCUUUUUUUUUUUUUUUUUUUUGGUUUUUUUUUGAGA
rnacentral:lncRNA from 1 species